GCGCACCGCCUGCUCCGCAACGACGCCCAGCGCAACCUCUUCUUCGACGCCCCCGCGCAUCCCCUCGCCGCCGCCACCGACGCCCAGCGCGUUCGCCGAUACGGCCUCGAUGACCGCGCCUGUUCCCAUGAUGUCAUCACGCUCAAGCGCCGCCCGCGCAUCCACGCCGGCGUCAGCCAUGUCGAGGAGGUUGUGGAGCCCCUCGACCCAUCCCUCGCCGCCGCCUGCGUCAACGACCCCGCCCUUCUUGGCAGGGUCGAUUCCCCCAUUGCUCGACUCAUCUUCGACGAGUAUGGCGUCGGUGGGUAAACGGCGCCGUUCGUAUGCGGCGGAAUCCAUAACACACACGACGUGUAUGAGCUCGACCAGGGCGGGGGGCUCGUGCUCGUGCUCGACCUCGACGAGACGCCCUUUGAUCUCGGCACCAACUACGAUCUAGACUGUGAGACUGCGGAGCAGGCAGGGGGCGACGAAGACGGAAGUGGGGCAGUUCGAGCUUGUCGAUGCGGGAGAGUUAGACAAUGGGAUGAUUGCCUUGAUUGA
rnacentral:rRNA from 1 species